rnacentral:rRNA from 1 species
AUACCCUAUUAUUUUUAAUGUAAAAAUUAUAGAAGCUAAAGUAAUAAUAGAUAAAAUCUUUAAAUUUAAAGAAUUUGGCGGUAUUAUAAUCUUUUUAGAGGAAUCUGUCAUGUAAUCGAUAGUCCGCGUUGAACCUUACUUAUUUAAUUUUCUUGUAUACCGCUGUUUGAAGGGAAUACUUUUAGGUUAAAAUUUUCUUAAUAAGGAUUAAUAGUUAGGAUUUCAAGUCAAGGUGCAGUAGAUAAAUAAGUUGAAUGAUAGGUUACAAUAGAAUUUAUUUAAUUUAACGAAUUUUAUUAUUAAAAUGAUAAUAUGAAGGUGGAUUUAAUUGUAAUUUUAUGAAGAUUGUUAAAAUGAAAAUAGCCCUAUGGUAUGUACACAUCGC